GGGCGUAAAGCGUACGUAGGCGGGUUGUUAAGUUAGAGGUCGAAAUCCCAGGGCUNAACCCUGGAACUGCAUCCGAUACUGCCGUGCUUGAGUAUUGGAGGGGAGUCUGGAAUUCUCGGUGUAGCAGUGAAAUGCGUAGAUAUCGAGAGGAACACUAGUGGCGAAGGCGAGACUCUGGACAAUAACUGACGCUGAGAGACGAAGGCCAGGGUAGCGAAAAGGAUUAGAUACCCUUGUAGUCCUGGCAGUAAACGGUGCACGCUUGGUUGGGAGGACUCGACCCCUUCCGUGCCGGAGCUAACGCGUUAAGCGUGCCGCCUGGGGAGUACGGCCGCAAGGCUAAAACUCAAAGAAAUUGACGGGGGCCCGCACAAGCGGUGGAGCAUGUGGUUUAAUUCGAUGCAACGCGAAAAACCUUACCAACCCUUGACAUCUAGUGAAAUUUCUAGAGAUAGAUUUGUGCCUUCGGGAACACUAUGACAGGUGUUGCAUGGCU
rnacentral:rRNA from 1 species